UACAGAGGUGGCAAGCGUUGUUCGGAUUUACUGGGCGUAAAGGGCGCGUAGGCGGCGCGGUAAGUCACUUGUGAAAUCUCUGAGCUUAACUCAGAACGGCCAAGUGAUACUGCAGUGCUAGAGUGCAGAAAGGGCAAUCGGAAUUCUUGGUGUAGCGGUGAAAUGCGUAGAUAUCAAGAGGAACACCUGAGGCGAAGGCGGGUUGCUAGGCUGACACUGACGCUGAGGCGCGAAAGCCAGGGGAGCAAACGGG
rnacentral:rRNA from 1 species